UGCAGUCGAACGAUGAUCCCAGCUUGCUGGGGGAUUAGUGGCGAACGGGUGAGUAACACGUGAGUAACCUGCCCUUGACUCUGGGAUAAGCCUGGGAAACUGGGUCUAAUACCGGAUAUGACUCCUCAUCGCAUGGUGGGGGGUGGAAAGCUUUUGUGGUUUUGGAUGGACUCGCGGCCUAUCAGCUUGUUGGUGGGGUAAUGGCCUACCAAGGCGACGACGGGUAGCCGGCCUGAGAGGGUGACCGGCCACACUGGGACUGAGACACGGCCCAGACUCCUACGGGAGGCAGCAGUGGGGAAUAUUGCACAAUGGGCGCAAGCCUGAUGCAGCGACGCCGCGUGAGGGAUGACGGCCUUCGGGUUGUAAACCUCUUUCAGUAGGGAAGAAGCGUAAGUGACGGUACCUGCAGAAGAAGCGCCGGCUAACUACGUGCCAGCAGCCGCGGUAAUACGUAGGGCGCAAGCGUUAUCCGGAAUUAUUGGGCGUAAAGAGCUCGUAGGCGGUUUGUCGCGUCUGCUGUGAAAGACCGGGGCUCAACUCCGGUUCUGCAGUGGGUACGGGCAGACUAGAGUGCAGUAGGGGAGACUGGAAUUCCUGGUGUAGCGGUGAAAUGCGCAGAUAUCAGGAGGAACACCGAUGGCGAAGGCAGGUCUCUGGGCUGUAACUGACGCUGAGGAGCGAAAGCAUGGGGAGCGAACAGGAUUAGAUACCCUGGUAGUCCAUGCCGUAAACGUUGGGCACUAGGUGU
rnacentral:rRNA from 1 species